CUAUAAGUCUCUCUCUGACAGGUUAUGGAGGUCAUGAAGAUAUUGGAGAUUGACCUUGAAAGUGGAUGGAUUUUGCCCAAGUUAUUUCAGGAUAAUCCGCCAAAUGUGCAUUGUGAAAUUCGAUGAUCGAGUAGUUUCCACUGCAGGGAUUGAACUACAAUCUGGAUCAAAUUUGAGUGAUAUUGGUGGGAGUUCAGGUUGGGAAUGAUACACAUGCAGAACCUAAGAAACAGAAUAAAAUCUGGAUCAAUUUUUUUUAUUACAGAACCUCUUUUUUUUUUUUUUUUUGCAUCAGAUGAACAGUUAUUUCUUCAUUCUUAGAUCAAAAAUUAUAUUUAGAAUACAUACUUAAUUCUUUUUCAUGUUUGAUGAAGCUCAUCUUUGUAUUCCAUGUUCAGUGGGUAAUCUGAGUGUUAAAAAAGAAAAUUUCCAAUAUGAUCAGAAUUAGUUUACAUUUAAUGAAA